CAUGCAGUCGAGCGAAGCAGUUAAGUUGAUUUCUUCGGAUUGAUUCUUAACUGACUGAGCGGCGGACGGGUGAGUAACGCGUGGGUGACCUGCCCCAUACCGGGGGAUAACAGCUGGAAACGGCUGCUAAUACCGCAUAAGCGCACAGAGCUGCAUGGCUCGGUGUGAAAAACUCCGGUGGUAUGGGAUGGGCCCGCGUCUGAUUAGGCAGUUGGCGGGGUAACGGCCCACCAAACCGACGAUCAGUAGCCGGCCUGAGAGGGCGACCGGCCACAUUGGGACUGAGACACGGCCCAAACUCCUACGGGAGGCAGCAGUGGGGAAUAUUGCACAAUGGGGGAAACCCUGAUGCAGCGACGCCGCGUGAGCGAAGAAGUAUUUCGGUAUGUAAAGCUCUAUCAGCAGGGAAGAUAAUGACGGUACCUGACUAAGAAGCCCCGGCUAACUACGUGCCAGCAGCCGCGGUAAUACGUAGGGGGCAAGCGUUAUCCGGAUUUACUGGGUGUAAAGGGAGCGUAGACGGCAAGGCAAGUCUGAUGUGAAAACCCAGGGCUUAACCCUGGGACUGCAUUGGAAACUGUCUGGCUCGAGUGCCGGAGAGGUAAGCGGAAUUCCUAGUGUAGCGGUGAAAUGCGUAGAUAUUAGGAAGAACACCAGUGGCGAAGGCGGCUUACUGGACGGUAACUGACGUUGAGGCUCGAAAGCGUGGGGAGCAAACAGGAUUAGAUACCCUGGUAGUCCACGCCGUAA
rnacentral:rRNA from 1 species